rnacentral:lncRNA from 1 species
GGGGAUGUUCUCUUCGUCCAUUACAGUGGACAUGGGACCAGGUUGCCGGCUGAAACUGGAGAAGACGAUGAUACCGGUUACGAUGAGUGUAUUGUUCCUUCUGAUAUGAAUCUUAUCACAGGUAAGUAAAAAAGACAAUAGGCUUAUAUACAAGACGAUUUUGAAAGCCAUAAACAAUUUAGUAAAAAUUUUUUUAACAAAUUAUUUUUAUAAGCGAUUUUGGUAAACAAUUUAGUUAUUUUACAUUUACUGACUUAUGUUCACAUAUAAAAACUAGAAAUUUUCUAGAGAUCCAAAGCUUAUGUUUCCUUUAGUUAUGUCCAAGACCGGCUUUGCUUAUAUGUUGAUAACUGAUGGAUAUGUGGAAUUUUAUAGGCUUAUUCGGUUUUGAAUUAAUUAUAAAUUCAUAUAAAUUAAACAUCUUUUUGAAAAAAAGUUUCGGUACAGGAGAUAGUAAUGAAUAUAUUUGGAUAACCUUUUAUGUUGGAAUCUAAUUUUUAUUUUGUGACGACUCUGUUUACAGAUGAUGAUUUUAGGGAUCUUGUGGAUAUGGCACCGAAGGAUUGUCCCAUUACAAUAGUUUCAGACUCUUGUCACAGUGGUGGUCUCAUCGAUGAAGCCAAAGAGCAGAUUGGAGAGAGCACAAAGAAGAAGAAGAAGAAAGACUCUGGAGAAUCUUCAAGAACCAACAAGGAGACAGGAGUAGAGGAGACAGAGACCAAAGAGAUUACUGAUUUGGGGAGCAGAUCUCUGCCAUUAGAGACUUUGAUCGAUAUGCUGAAGCAAGAAACAGGCAAAGAUGAUAUCGAAGUAGGGAAAAUCAGAACAACUCUUUUCGAUAUGUUUGGAGAAGAUUCAAGCCCAAAGGUGCAGAAGUUCAUGAAUGUGAUUCUAAGUAACCUACAAGAGACUACCACUGGUCAGACUAGUCAAGGUGAUAUAUUGGAAUCAGUUGCAAACCUAACUCAAGAGUUUCUUGAGCAGAAGAUAAAUGAUGUUGUGAUACCUGCGAUCCACGAGGUCUAUGCUGGUGCAAUCAAUGGUGCACUUCCGGAUAAUGGUAUACUGAUCAGUGGUUGUCAAACUGAUCAAAC